UACAGAGGUCCCAAGCGUUUGUUCGGAUUCACUGGGCGUAAAGGGUGCGUAGGUGGCAUGGUAAGUUUGAUGUGAAAUCUCCGGGCUUAACCCGGAAAUGGCAUUGAAUACUACUGUGCUGGAGGUUUGGAGGGGGGACUGGAAUUCUCGGUGUAGCAGUGAAAUGCGUAGAUAUCGAGAGGAACACCAGUGGCGAAGGCGAGUCCCUGGACAACACCUGACACUGAGGCACGAAAGCUAGGGGAGCAAACAGG
rnacentral:rRNA from 1 species